CGAUGUCUAGGGGCUCUGAGAGGAUUGUCCCCCACACUGGUACUGAGACACGGACCAGACUCCUACGGGAGGCAGCAGUAAGGAAUAUUGGUCAAUGGACGAAAGUCUGAACCAGCCAUGCCGCGUGCAGGAUGACGGCCCUAUGGGUUGUAAACUGCUUUUAUACGGGAAGAAUCCCCUGUACGUGUACAGGGUUGACGGUACCGUACGAAUAAGGAUCGGCUAACUCCGUGCCAGCAGCCGCGGUAAUACGGAGGAUCCAAGCGUUAUCCGGAUUUAUUGGGUUUAAAGGGUGCGUAGGCGGAAUGAUAAGUUAGUGGUGAAAUCCCUCGGCUCAACCGGGGCACUGCCAUUAAAACUGUCAUUCUUGAGUACAGUUGAAGUGGGCGGAAUUUAUCAUGUAGCGGUGAAAUGCUUAGAUAUGAUACAGAACACCGAUAGCGUAGGCAGCUUGCUAAACUAUAACUGACGCUCAGGCACGAAAGCGUGGGGAGCAAACAGGAUUAGAUACCCUGGUAGUCCACGCCGUAAACGAUGAUCACUCGCUGUUGGCGAUACACAGUCAGCGGCUUAGGGAAACCAUUAAGUGAUCCACCUGGGGAGUACGGUCGCAAGAUUGAAACUCAAAGGAAUUGACGGGGGCCCGCACAAGCGGAGGAGCAUGUGGUUUAAUUCGAUGAUACGCGAGGAACCUUACCUGGGCUUAAAUGUAAGACGACAGUCCCCGAAAGGGGACUUUCCUUCGGGACGUCCUACAAGGUGCUGCAUGGUUGUCGUCAGCUCGUGCCGUGAGGUGUCGGGUUAAGUCCCAUAACGAGCGCAACCCCUAUCCUUAGUUGCCAUCAGAUAAUGCUGGGGACUCUAAGGAAACUGCCUACGCAAGUAGUGAGGAAGGUGGGGAUGACGUCAAAUCAGCACGGCCCUUAUGUCCAGGGCUACACACGUGCUACAAUGGCCGGUACAGAGGGCAGCUACCUGGUGACAGGAUGCUAAUCUCGAAAACCGGUCUCAGUUCGGAUCGAAGUCUGCAACUCGACUUCGUGAAGUCGGAUUCGCUAGUAAUCGCACAUCAGCCAUGGCGCGGUGAAUACGUUCCCGGGCCUUGUACACACCGCCCGUCAAGCCAUGGAAGCUGGGGGUACCUAAAGUCCGUAACCGCAAGGAGCGGCCUAGGGUAAAACUAGUAACUGGGCUAAGUCGUAACAAGGUA
rnacentral:rRNA from 1 species